UGUCUGGGCGGAGUCCACACACCCAUAACAAUGGAGGAAUACGAUAAUUUUGGUAAUCAUAAUCUGGAUGUCUCUUGUCUGGGCGGAGUCCACACACCCAUAACAAUGGAGGAAUACGAUAAUUUUGGUAAUCAUAAUCUGGAUGUCUCGUGUCUGGGCGGAGUCCACACACCCAUAACAAUGGAGAAAUACGAUAAUUUUGGUAAUCAUAAUCUGGAUGUCUCUUGUCUGGGCGGAGUCCACACACCCAUAACAAUGGAGGAAUACGAUAAUUUUGGUAAUCAUAAUCUGGAUGUCUCGUGUCUGGGCGGAGUCCACACACCCAUAACAAUGGAGGAAUACGAUAAUUUUGGUAAUCAUAAUCUGAAUGUCUUUUGUCUGGGCGGAGUCCACACACCCAUAACAAUGGAGGAAUACGAUAAUUUUGGUAAUCAUAAUCUGGAUGUCUCGUGUCUGGGCGGAGUCCACACACCCAUAACAAUGGAGGAAUACGAUAAUUUUGGUACGUUUUCUCAUUGUUAUGAUCAACUAAAGGUAAUCAUAAUCUGGAUGUCUCGUGUCUGGGCGGAGUCCACACACCCAUAACAAUGGAGAAAUACGAUAAUUUUGGUACGUUUUCUCAUUGUUAUGAUCAACUAAAGGUAAUCAUAAUCUGGAUGUCUCUUGUCUGGGCGGAGUCCACACACCCAUAACAAUGGAGGAAUACGAUAAUUUUGGUACGUUUUCUCAUUGU